UACGAAGGGGGCUAGCGUUGCUCGGAAUACUGGGCGUAAAGGGCGCGUAGGCGGCACUGUUAGUCAGGCGUGAAAUUCCUGGGCUCAACCUGGGGACUGCGCUUGAUACGGCAGAGCUAGAGGAAUGGAAGAGGCUCGCGGAAUUCCCAGUGUAGAGGUGAAAUUCGUAGGAUAUUGGGGAAGAACGACCGGUGGCGAAGGCGGCGAGCUGGUCCAUUACUGACGG
rnacentral:rRNA from 1 species